CCCCUCUCAGGAUCGCACCUGGAGAGUUUCCAGUAUUCUACCAGGUUUCGACUACGGGAGGGAGGCCAAGCAGAGGCAGACCCAUUCCAUUCCCGGCUUGGGCAGUGGCUAGCGAAUGGACGGCAAUCUGCUACAAGU